rnacentral:rRNA from 1 species
AUCUUCCGCAAUGGGCGAAAGCCUGACGGAGCAACGCCGCGCGAGUGAUGAAGGGUUUCGGUUCGUAAAACUCUGUUAUUAGGGAAGAACAAAUGUGUAAGUAACUGUGCACAUCUUGACGGUACCUAAUCAGAAAGCAACGGCUAACUACGUACCAGCAGCCGCCGUAAUACGUAGGUGGCAAGCGUUAUCCGGAAUUAUUGGGGCUAAAGCGCGCGUAGGCGGUUUCUUAAGUCUGAUGUGAAAGCCCACGGGUCAACCGUGGAGGGUCAUUGGAAACUGGGAAACUUGAGUGCAGAAGAGGAAAGUGGAAUUCCAUGUGUAGCGGUGAAAUGCGCAGAGAUAUGGAGGAACACCAGUGGCGAAGGCGACUUUCUGGUCUGUAACUGACGCUGAUGUGCGAAAGCGUGGGGAUCAAACA